ACUCCUACGGGAGGCAGCAGUGGGGAAUCUUAGACAAUGGGGGCAACCCUGAUCUAGCCAUGCCGCGUGAGUGAUGAAGGCCUUCGGGUUGUAAAGCUCUUUCAGCUGGGAAGAUAAUGACGGUACCAGCAGAAGAAGCCCCGGCUAACUCCGUGCCAGCAGCCGCGGUAAUA
rnacentral:rRNA from 1 species